rnacentral:sRNA from 1 species
GUGCACAAAACGCCAAAUUCCUGAGCACCAGGAAGUGGGGGAACCAUAUUUUGGGUGAAUUGAUCUCCUUACAGAGGGAUCAUAGGGGGCCUUCCACCGAACCCUUAAGCUAACCUCGCCGGCACUAGGAGGAAUACAU